UGGGGAAUAUUGCACAAUGGGCGCAAGCCUGAUGCAGCCAUGCCGCGUGUGUGAAGAAGGCCUUCGGGUUGUAAAGCACUUUCAGCGGGGAGGAAGGCGGUGAGGUUAAUAACCUCAUCGAUUGACGUUACCCGCAGAAGAAGCACCGGCUAACUCCGUGCCAGCAGCCGCGGUAAUACGGAGGGUGCAAGCGUUAAUCGGAAUUACUGGGCGUAAAGCGCACGCAGGCGGUCUGUCAAGUCGGAUGUGAAAUCCCCGGGCUCAACCUGGGAACUGCAUUCGAAACUGGCAGGCUAGAGUCUUGUAGAGGGGGGUAGAAUUCCAGGUGUAGCGGUGAAAUGCGUAGAGAUCUGGAGGAAUACCGGUGGCGAAGGCGGCCCCCUGGACAAAGACUGACGCUCAGGUGCGAAAGCAGUUCCCAGGUUGAGCCCGGGG
rnacentral:rRNA from 1 species